rnacentral:rRNA from 1 species
GCGACAGGCCUAACACAUGCAAGUCAGGGGCAGCACAAGGAGCAAUCUGAGGUGGCGACCGGCGCACGGGUGAGUAACACGUAUGCAACCUGCCUGUAAGCGGGGAAUAACCCGUUGAAAGACGGACUAAUACCGCAUAAUACUAAAUUACUGCAUGGUAAUUUAUUUAAACAUUUAUGGCUUACAGAUGGGCAUGCGCAUGAUUAGCUAGUUGGAGAGGUAACGGCUCCCCAAGGCAACGAUCAUUAGGGGUUCUGAGAGGAAGGUCCCCCACACUGGUACUGAGACACGGACCAGACUCCUACGGGAGGCAGCAGUGAGGAAUAUUGGUCAAUGGACGAGAGUCUGAACCAGCCAAGUCGCGUGCAGGAAGAAUGUUCCCUAUGGAUUGUAAACUGCUUUUGCAGGGGAAUAAAGUGCAUCACGUGUGAUGUUUUGUAUGUACUCUGCGAAUAAGGAUCGGCUAACUCCGUGCCAGCCGCAGC